ensembl:lncRNA
GGGGGAGAGAAGAUAGGGGAGACCCAGCCAGGCUAGUGGGAGUCUCACUGGGCCUGCAGUGUGAGAGGAAGGUGGGGGAGGCGGAGGGAGACCGAGGAGGCAGGGGGAGGCGGACAAGAGGUAUGUGGGAGAGAGGGGGAAGAGGGAUCUCAGGGAGAGCCGUCUGUAAACAUCGCCUCAACCUUCCAAUUUCUCCAUCAUUAACCUCACUUAUCCAUCACACCACCUUUGGAGUCGAUCAGAGAUGACUCCACUGAUGACGUAUACAGGCAGGAUUGGGAUUUUGAUCAGACAAUUUAGAUGUGAUCUAAAUUGUGGAGUAAAUCUUGCUGGGCUUCCUUAUUGUGGUAUCUAUAUUUUCAUAUGUUCAACAGGGAGACAAGAUUUCUGAAAAUAUAUUCAUAAAAUAUAUCACACAUUCACUUUUUAUAAUAAAAGCAUUUUCUGCUGUGUUUUUAUUGACUUACAUCAAAACAGUAAAAGCUAAAACAUAGCCGGCUGUGAGGAUGUGUUUUAUCACAAACAGAGCAGUGUGAAGGAUUUGAUCUCCUUGGUUUUGUGUUGCUGCUAAACUAAACUGGUGUUAUUCAUCUCUCCUGGACUCCAGUGUUCCUGCCAGUAUCGUAUUCAUGCUACCAGCUGGAUCCCACCAGAUGUGUCUAUAACAAAUCAUAAACACAGCCAUUGACUGCUGGUUCAGAUUCAUAAACCUAGCAAUUGACUGCUGGUUGACUGCUGCUCAGAUCCCUAUAGUGGAGGGAUUAACUGGUGACUCAAAAUGCUAACCAGGGCGAUUGACUGCUGCUUGGAUUCAUAAGCUCCAUGAUUGACUGCUGUUGGCACAAUUGCUACCACCGGAGUCGGUGGCAAUUGACAAACGAUGGUGGGAGCAGCACCGGCCGGCGGCGAGGGAAAUUACCCAGCCCUAUCGGAGGCCGCUGGCAAGCCAGUCCCAGGAGCGACAAAGGAUUCUAAUGCAGGAGAGAGAGGAGAGGGAUGGUGUGCAUGCAGGCAGGCAGAAGCACCAAUCUGUUAUCAUUGAAGGUCUGUUGAAUGCCUUUUGUACAGGAAUCUUUGAAUGUUCAUGUCACUCCGUCAGCGUCAGAAGAGUCUGCUUUGUGAAUGAAACAUAAUAAGAACCAAUGUGUUCAUUGCUGGUCUUUGUGUUUCUAUACAGAAGUAGUCGUUGUCAUGUAUUGAAGCACCGCCAACAGGUUGUGAAAUAAUUAGUUACUUUGAGUGUGUUUUUUCCUGCCUUGCUUUCGCAGGUGUAUGUUCAGAAACGUUGACAUUUUUAAGUUGAUGUGCUCUCUAUUGAUGACAUCUCUAUAGCCCCUGCCUGUGGGAAUAUACAUUAUGAUCCACAGAGCUCAGUACAAGUGAAGGCUAUGAGGCAUGGGGUAGCUGGGGGCUAGGAGACGGC